CCUUCGAUGAAUCUAAGCCGUUCUUCCACCACGAUGCAACCGCGACCCCAACCCGCUCGUUCCCCUCCCCCUCCUCUCUUUCUCUCUCGCGCUUGACUCCCCCGCCGCCCCUUCCCGUCCCCACCCCGACGCCGUCCGCUCCCCAUCCACCAUCCCAGCGCGAUGGCUGGGAGGACCGCGCCCGCCUCCCUCCCCUCCUUCUCCCUCACGCCCGACUCCCUCGCUGCCCCUUUAUCCUGGAUCUCGUCAUGGACGCUACCACGACCAACGGUUCGACGGAGCAGGCGCCGCACUCUGCGCCACGGGACGGAGCCCGUCCCCACCCGACACCGGCCACCUCCACCCCGAGCUCCUCCGAGAAGUGAGUGAUUUCCAUUUCUUCGAUUGGAUGACGCGCGGUCGGGCCUCCGCACCUCUCUGUCCCCCUCCCCUCCCGCGGCGACAGCUUCCUCUAGGAGAUGAGCGCGCCCGCCCCCGCGCGCACCACCACCACCACGCGUCCACGCCCCUCGUGCACCUUCUCGCCCGAGUCUGGUAACGGUGCAAAGGCAAAUGGGGCAUCAUCACAUAUCUAGGUCGUAUUUUCGACAGACAGAUAUAAAACGGAGUGGGAAUGCCUCGAUUGAUAUCAUGUCCAAGUUCUUCAAGCUGAUGGUGGUUCUACAAUUAAUGAAUGAUUUGAACGAAGUGUUCAAGAUGCCGCUAUCUCUUGUAUUGAGGUUAGUUAAUUCCAUAUUUGAUAUUGUCUGUGUAUGCCUACUUCAGCCGACAUUGUGUUUUUUCUAGACCCAUGGUGACUGGUAUGAUCUCUAUUUCUAUUGGACUUGUUCAAUUUCCCAAUAGUUACAUCCCAUAUUUACAAGCUGGAGAGAUUGAAACAUUUUUUAUAACAUCUUAUCUAUUAAAACUCCAUGUCGUUUGCUCCACCAGGGGCUUCCAGUGCGCUUUUUCCCCUCGAUCUCGUGUGAUCUGAGUGUGAGAAGGCUUAUAGUGUGCUUGAGGUUCUUCGACCUCUCUAUAAUUCCCCUAAGAUACUGGAACAAAAGGUAACUGUUGCGAUAUAUGUCAAUCUUCAAUUUCGUUGUCGCUUAGCAGUUGUUGGGCUUUGGUACCCAGUCUGUAAUUUUGCUGAUGCACCAGCGACACAUAUUUAUCAUUUUUUAUUUUUAAAUCAAUAACAAAGCACAGGUACAAUAUAAUCUUAUAUAGCUUUUAAGGUAUGUAAACAUCCACUUUAGUGAUGCUAACAAAUGUAUAAAAUAAUAAUAAUUAUUUUUUCAUAGCAAUAUAUUUUAUCAUAUUGCAUCUUAGUUCAUGCUACCUGGAUGUAAAUGUGGUGCGGUUUAGUUUAAUAAGAUCUUCACUAAUCACUACAUAGUGCAGCACUGGGCUGUUAAUAUUUUUUGUACCAUGUGUCAUAAGCAUGAGAUGUUGCCUGUAGAGUACCAAUGCUUUAUUGCAGUCUUCCUCCUCGUCUGCCCCAAUGUCGGCAAGUCAGCCCUCUUCAACAGGUGAGAGACACCUUAGGAAGGCAUCGGUCAUUGCCUCUCGCCUGUAGUUUCUAUGCCGCUAUGAGGGGUGGUGGCAUUUCCUCAAAUACGUUGCAUGUAUCACUGUAACUGUUCUUCCCCUUCCGUUACCAUUAACCCAUGCAUCUAAUUACUUGUAUAUUUUACGUUACCGUUUUCCUGUUCUCAACAUUUCAGAUUCUAGAUGAUGGUACGACAAAUUAUUUUAGGAGCGCUUUGACAUAAUUUAAAGCUUGGAAGGGAGCUUUCUAUGAUUUAUUUUUCUGACUGUUUCGUCACAUGUUCUUUCCCUAGAUGAAAGUAUUGAUUUAUUUUUGGUUCUGCAGGAUCAUUGCGUCUCUGCGAGCUAAUCAGUUCUGUGAGCGUCUCCCUAGCCCCAAUGGCGAGUCAACUGUUGAUUGUCAUCAGAUCUCAAAGAUGCCAAAUCUUGCAUUCACCAUUGCAAACAAGACUUUCACCUUAACACCAGAGCAGUACAUAGUGAAGUUGGAGCAAGCAGGACAAACUAUCUGCAUCAAUGGGUUUAUGGCAUUUGACGUACCGCCUCCUCGUGGUCCUCUCUGCUACGCUAAACAUAUCUGUACUACUCUUAAGUGUGCAAUGAGGGCGUCCACCGAGGGCAUCACCGUGCCCCCGCUCGCCCCCUCCACGCCCGCGCCUGUCUGCAUCCGCCCCCUUCGUCUCCCCGCAAUGGCCGCGUCCCUACCUCAUGUCUACGACGACAACUAGGUUAAACAUGAAGAAGUCAUCGGGCUCGGGCUCGGUGUCGUUGGCGCGGAGCAUCCCGGAGCUGUACGAGGAGAGGGGAGCCAGCAACCUCCGGGAGUUCGGGUUCCAGGAGCUCCGGGCCGCCACCAGCGACUUCAGCCGCCUGCUCAAGGUCGGCGAGGUGGCUUCGGGAGCGUUUACAAGGGCGUCGUCCGCCUUCCUGGCGGGCCCGCCGGCGGCACGGUAGUUGCCAUAAAAAACUCAAUCCCAAUGGUCAUCAGGUAUGGUCGUGUGGAUCAGUGUUUUCUUGGCUCACCUGUGUCAAUACCAUCUUGUCGUUGUUGAUCACGAAUUCGUCAGCAUUUUUACAGUAUAUUGCCUACCAUAUACAUUAUCUCUGUGUGUGUGUGGGUGAACCCUACAUCCCGUAGAAGUAGAACUACACAGGGUCUCUGUUUUUUGGAUCAUGAAAUGGACUGUACCUUGCAUGACUCUGUACAAUUCAUCUUGCUAAUGUGUCUGUGAAGUAUCUAUCAUUUUGCUAGCCCUGUUUCAUUUCAGAAGUUCAAGGUUAUCUCAUUCUGGCAUAUCUCAUUUGCCUGCUGAUGAAGUGAAGCCUUUGGUUAAAUAUGAUAAUGAUGAAGAUGCACACUCACCUGGUGGCCGUGGAAGGGGUCGUGGUGGUCGAGGCCGUGGGCGGGGCAGGGGCAGAGGUGGACGUGGAAAUGGGUUCAAUGAGUAUGCUGAUGCUGGUUGGGAAGACGAUCACGCCCCUGCAUAUAUGGGCAAUGGAUAUGCCCGCGGAAGAGGUCGCAGUUUCAGGGGCCGUGGUAGGAGAGGCGACGACGAUAACCAGCCUGAAUACCAACAUGUCGGAGGUUAUUUCAAGAAGAUCCAAUUGAACCAAAAAGUGGAAUAAAAUUUCCAACAUUUCUGGAAGACGACUCCAGUCCAUCUGCAGCGGUCCUUGUUGGGAUAGGUUUCAAAGGCAUGAGAGUGAUGAGGGUCAAAAAUCUGAACCUCUACGCUUUUGGUUUAUAUAUGCAACCAACUUCUAUCCGUGAGAAGUUGGGUCCUAAGUAUGCUUCAUUUCCAACUGACAAGCUGAUGGAGAACCCUGAUUUCUAUAGUAAUCUUCUCAGGAAAUGGGUUCAAUGAGUAUGAUGAUGCUGGUUGGGAAGACGAUCACUCCCCUGCAUAUAUGGGCAAUGGAUAUGCCCGUGGAAGAGGUCGCAGUUUCAGGGGCCGUGGUAGGAGAGGCGGCGACAAUAACCAGCCUGAAUACCAACAGGUCGGAGGUUAUUACGAGUGUUCAUGCUCCAGCUUUAGGUGGGUAACCUCACAGGACACAAAUGAAGUGUACAAAAUAUUUUCAAACAAAAUUAAGCAAGGCCUGAAGAUAAUCUGAAGAGCUUUGUACAGGCGAUUUUUUAUCAUUGUUGAUCCUGAUUCCUGAUUCUUUUAUUUUUUUCAACAACAGAUUUUCACCAUUUGUAAUGGAACUGAAACCAGCCUCUCAUCGAAGUGGAAACCUUUUUUUAGUCGUAAACAUUUACAUGGUUUAUCCAGUGGUAUGCUGAUGAAAGAUGCUAAGUUUCGCUUAAUAUAAUGUAUAUGAAGGUCCUGUGUA